rnacentral:rRNA from 1 species
AUGCAGCAGAUAGGCGCGCAUAUUCCUCUUGCCACCAAUCAGUUCCCUCAACAUCCACGCCGGGUAUACACUGCUGGUGGUGGCAGAUCAAGUUACUGCCACCGUGUGAUGCCCUUUGGCCAAGCAUAUCUCCACCAGCACCAGGUCAAGGCUGUUCUUAGAGCAUCCAACCCCCUACAAGCUGUGACUAGUGUGAACACAAACCAGGAAUACAGCAUAAGGAAGGACAAAUGUUUUCAAGUUGAGAUGAAAGUUCAUGACACGGAACUUGACCGAUAUGGUGUUGUCCACAACGCUGUCUACAGUUAUUACAUUCAAAACGGUCAUGACAAGCUAUUUGAAAGCCUUGGAAUCAGUGUAGACGCGAUAACAUCCAAAGGCAAUGCGCUCGCUCUUUCAGAAGUACAACUAAAGUACAUUGCACCUUUAAGGUUUUGCCAGAGUGGUGACAGGUUUGUCAUCAAGGUGAAGCUCGAGCAAAUCAAAGGUGUAAGAGUGAUCUUUGCGCAAACAAUUGAGACACUGCCCGAUCAUAAGCCCGUACUGGAAGCCAAAGGAACCGUUGUUUGCCUCGACAAAGACUAUCGUCCAACUCGCAUAUUCCCAGAUAUAUCAACAAAAAUUCUGCAGUUCUUCUCAUCCAAGGACGACUAA